rnacentral:rRNA from 1 species
CCUACGGGAGGCAGCAGUGGGGAAUAUUGGGCAAUGGAGGAAACUCUGACCCAGCGACGCCGCGUGCGGGAUGAAGGCCUUCGGGUUGUAAACCGCUUUCAGCAGGGAAGAAGCGAAAGUGACGGUACCUGCAGAAGAAGCACCGGCUAACUAUGUGCCAGCAGCCGCGGUAAUACAUAGGGUGCAAGCGUUGUCCGGAAUUAUUGGGCGUAAAGAGCUCGUAGGUGGUUCGUCACGUCGGAUGUGAAAAUCUGGGGCUUAACCCCAGACCUGCAUUCGAUACGGGCGAGCUUGAGUAUGGUAGGGGAGUCUGGAAUUCCUGGUGUAGCGGUGGAAUGCGCAGAUAUCAGGAGGAACACCAAUGGCGAAGGCAGGACUCUGGGCCAUUACUGACACUGAGGAGCGAAAGCGUGGGGAGCGAACAGGAUUAGAUACCCUGGUAGUCCACGCCGUAAACGGUGGGCACUAGUUGUGGGGACCUUCCACGGUCUCUGCGACGCNGCUACGCAUAGUGCCGCCGCGGGAGGUACGAGCGCGAGAAGUAAACGUACGAAGAAGUAGAGGCGUGNGAGNGCGACGGACGACGACGAGGGAGGAGG